CUAAAAUCAAAUCUAGGGUAUGUCAGUGUCGACGGAAAGUAGAGCGAGCCGAUUGAUUUAUUUCAUCCGUUCGAACCCGAUCCAAAAUAUGCCCGGAAAUUGGGAGGAGAGUUCAUGGUGGUUGGUGGGUUUCCCGAGUUUGCGGUGGAUUCUGGCGUCGGCGUUGGAUUUUUGUUGUAUGAUGCGCAUAGAUGCAUUUCAGAAGAGAAGCAUCGAUUGAUCUUCCAUUUGGAGCUGGCGUUUGAUAGCUUGAUUCUGGACUCUGUAUGUUGAAGUCAAAGUAGAAGGUGGUUUGUCUUGUUGGUCACAACCAUGUCGCGUGGGCGAGCUGAUGGGGGCUCAAAGAAAUGAUCAGUCACCUUGGUUCUAGUUUUGGUGAUUAUUUGUGGAGGGUUGUACAUGUAUAUACUAAAAGAAAUGGUUCCACCACUUUGGAGUAUAGCAGUAAAAUAUGAAAAUCUGGUUCUACUUACUUGGGUGGGGAUGAAGAGGUUGAUGAGACACCUACCAAACUUGGUGAAGAUGAAGAUGAUAGUGUUGUACUGAAGAGCAUACCGGUUGUGAUGCUAGACAUUCAGAAUUAAUUCCUUGCUUGGACAGAAACCUUAUUUACCAAACAAGGUUGAAGUUGGACCGUCUUUGAUGGAACAUUAUGAGAGACACUGCCAGCCCUGCUCCUGAAAAGCGGUUUAACUGUUUAAUUCCUCCCCUACCUGGAUACAAGGUUCAAGUCAUCGAGUGCAAGCUAUUCGGGGGGCUUCUGCAAGUUGCAGUGUGUUCACUAGGAUUGAGGGUUUGGGGAUUUCGUCGUACUGUGAAAGAGUAGCAGCAGAGGAAUGAGUCAGUAACUCUGUACUAUUAUACAUAUUAAGAUACAAUACAGAUGUGAAGGUGCCAACUGACUUUUGUAUGGAUAUAUAAAUUUAACAAGGAUAUAUGGAGCAUUAUU